rnacentral:rRNA from 1 species
CCUACGGGCGGCUGCAGUGGGGAAUAUUGGACAAUGGGCGAAAGCCUGAUCCAGCCAUGCCGCGUGUGUGAAGAAGGCCUUCGGGUUGUAAAGCACUUUCAGUGGGGAAGAAAGCCUUGGGGCUAAUACCCUCGAGGAAGGACAUCACCCACAGAAGAAGCACCGGCUAACUCCGUGCCAGCAGCCGCGGUAAUACGGAGGGUGCGAGCGUUAAUCGGAAUUACUGGGCGUAAAGCGCGCGUAGGCGGUCUGAUAAGCCGGUUGUGAAAGCCCCGGGCUUAACCUGGGAACGGCAUCCGGAACUGUCAGGCUAGAGUGCAGGAGAGGAAGGUAGAACUCCAGGUGUAGCGGUGAAAUGCGUAGAGAUCGGGAGGAAUACCAGUGGCGAAGGCGGCCUUCUGGACUGACACUGACGCUGAGGUGCGAAAGCGUGGGUAGCAAACAGGAUUAGAUACCCCUGUAGUC